UACGAAGGGGGCUAGCGUUGCUCGGAAUGACUGGGCGUAAAGGGAGCGUAGGCGGGCUCUUAAGUUGGAUGUUUAAAACCGGGGCCUAACCCCGGCGUGACAUCCAAAACUGGGAGUCUUGAAUGGGACAGAGGCCAGUGGAAUUCCUGGUGUAGCGGUGAAAUGCGUAGAUAUCAGGAGGAACACCUGUGGCGAAAGCGGCUCACUGGACCAUAACUGACGCUGAUGCACGAAAGCUAGGGGAGCAAACAGG
rnacentral:rRNA from 1 species